UUCAGCUGUUCCCGAAAACAACUGAAUUAGUAAGCUGUCAUGGCUUUAUUUGCAAACCGCUCACAGCAACAGUACCUGAAAAUUGAAGUUCUCUGCAAGCCUCUUCGCUGCACUUCAUCCUCGGGGCAGACUAAUUUAAAGCAGGGGGCCUGUGGCUGUCUUACAAGGCACCAAUCUCUGUUGAGAAUUGAUUUUCAUCAUCCCUCCACACCAACAGGCUCAGGUCACAUCCCGGCCUGCCUGAGCAAGAUAACAGUAAAUAAAGUGAUAGCAUUCCAUCUGAUUAUGAGUACUUUGCAAUCUGCGACAGUUUGAUUGAUGCUUCACCUCCAUGAGCAGAAUUUUGAGCAGCACCUCCUUGAAGCAGCCCGUUAUGUGUCUGCAAGCUGGUAACCUUGAAUUUAUGUUACCAGGGCAACAGAGCUGGUCAUGCAUUAUGGAUUAUCAUUGAAAUUCUACACCACCUACCUAACAUAAUAAUGGGGACUUGAGACUUAAUCAAAUCAGCCAAUCCGUGCGGAUGCUUGUGCCUUUAUAUAUAAGUGAUCGUAAUAUCAUUCUGUAUGAUUGAUAUUUAAAUGUAUAUGUUUAUUUGUGUUUGUCUCACAGUAUGUGUAAACAUACACACACUGAUAGUCUUUCCAUAAAAUACAAAGACAACCGGCAGCUGGUAAAACAUUUCCAAGCUGCUCAGUUUGUCCAUGUGGGUGAAUGAGAUCUAAAUCUGAGGUGUUAAACCUGUUUCUACUUUGAACGGGCCGCCCACAGUUCUUUCACUGACCAUCUGACUGCCGAAUUUAGCAACUUCACAUGGUGAGAUUUGUUUCAUCAAUCCACCUGGAAACAAAUUCAUGUUUGGAAGGAGUUGAAAACAACUGAGGAGCUCAGAUGCAAAAGCCUCUAAACGCCACUUCUGUCAAAAAUGAGGUAAUGUUACAGAAUGCUUAUUAUUAUAUAAUAAGUAUAAUACGUUCAUUAAAUACCUUUGCUUCAAAUGCGCUUAAUCCUGGCCUCAUUUAAGGUCAUUUAAAAACGUUCUAAGGGAAUCUGCAAGACGUUUGAAUUGUUUUCAAACAGACGGAGCGUAGCUAACUCCU